GAUCAUGGCUCAGGAUGAACGCUGGCGGCGUGCCUAACACAUGCAAGUCGAACGAAGCACUCUGGUUGAGAUUCGUCAAGAACCGGAUUUGACCUAGUGGCGGACGGGUGAGUAAUGUAUGAGCAACCUGCCUUUCAAGAGGGGGACAACAGUUGGAAACGACUGCUAAUACCGCAUAAAGUAUUUUAAGGGCAUCCUUGGAAUACCAAAGGAGCAAUCCGCUGAAAGAUGGGCUCAUAUCUGAUUAGUUAGUUGGCAGGGUAACGGCCUACCAAGACUGCGGUCAGUAGCCGGACUGAGAGGUUGAACGGCCACAUUGGGACUGAGAUACGGCCCAGACUCCUACGGGAGGCAGCAGUGGGGAAUAUUGGGCAAUGGGCGAAAGCCUGACCCAAGCAACGCCGCGUGAAGGAAGAAGGUCUUCGGAUUGUAAACUUCUUUUAUGAGGACGAAGGACGUGACGGUACCUCAUGAAUAAGCCACGGCUAACUACGUGCCAGCAGCAGC
rnacentral:rRNA from 1 species